UUAUGUGUGACCCCUGGCACCACAUCUGGCACAUAGUAGUUGCUUAAUAAAUACAUGCUGAGUAAGGAAAAGUGUUGCUUGGCCUCAUUACCCAGGAGAUAGUCUUUUCCCCCAGUAGAUCUCAUCCCUUUAUUGAAAGCUGGUGCUCAGAAUAGUUGAUAGACUUAUUGGAGGCACUGGGAGGAGAAAGAAAGGGACCGCUUGGUGGGAUAGGCUUUCCCAUCUCCCCAUCACUGGGCAAAUAAACUGACGCCAACACAUCAGCCGCCCUCAUUAGCAGCGAAGCGGCCCUGGCUGCCCUCCUGGGGUCAUUCUAAUUGGCUCUAAUCAGGGAAAGCCAGGUCUGGGCUUUAUAAAGUGACAGCAGCUCUACUGUUAGAAGAGCAGGUAGAAAAGUCACACCAGAAACACCAUUUCCAAGCACAGAGUAAUUACAACUCAUUCUGGCUUUCGCAGCUAUGCUGAGGAAUCUUUGUCUAGCCCUGCUGAUAGUGGUCUUCCCGCUUCCUGCUUCCAUUUUCUUCCUUGUUGUGAGGCAACAAGGGAUCCCACACACUUUUUUCUUCAUGGCCUUGGGUCCAGCAAGAAGAAAUCUGGAUUCCUAAGGGGCUGACUCUAGGGGUCUCCGGUGCUGAAGAAUUAAGAGUCUAUAAAAUUCUAGGGUAAGGAGAGUAGGCUAUGUUCUAGACAGGCGAGACUCUUCGGAGGACCGUGGUUUAAAUGUGCUGGUGACUGAGAAGCAAAUACACUUCCUACUCCAGCAGCCACUUGGCAUGUCCACAUUGUAUGCUGCACUCUCAGCAAAACCUUCCCGGACCCCCGGGCGGUGAGCCACUCCUCUGGGCUCCCACAACAUUGGGCCCAUGUCUCUAUUACACGAUUCACUGCACUGUCUUUCAUUUACUAGCUUAGCCAUCUGUCUUCCAAGAUGGACUGCCAGCUCCUCAAGGGCACUAACCAAGCCUCAUUCAUAUUUAUAUUUUUGGUUUAUUCCCUCGUAUUUAUAUUUUUGGUUUAUUCCCUCGCACAGAGCCUAGCACUUGGGACAUAUUGACUGACUCCUCAAAGGAAGGGAAUGGAAGACACUGGUAGUAAGAUGAACCAGGAGCUUCCAGACAGCUGAACACAUGGAGGGUGGUGCACCCGGAAAGGACACAGAAGCUCCAUGCUCCUACCCCCAAAUCACGCUCUGUGUCUCUUCAUCUGUAUCCUUUAUAAUAAACCAGUAAACUUAAGGUCUAUAAGAAAGUAAUAGGGUUAAGUGAUGUCAUAAGGGCAAGGCCUUAUCCCAAAGGACCAUUGUCCUCAUGAGAAGAGGACAAGACACCAGGGAACGUUCUCUCCACACAAGCAUAGCCAAGAGGCCAUAUGAAGACGCAGCCAGAAGGCAGCCAACCACCAUGAGGGAAGACAGCCCUCAUCAGAAACCAACCCUGGUGGCGUAUUGAUAUUGGAUAUAGCCUCCAGAAGUGUGAGAAAAGAAUUUUUUUUUUUUUUUUUUUAAAGACGAACUGGUGUGGGCAUAGAGUUUUACAGUAGAAAUAGCAGGUCAAAGAGGUAAAGUUUGGUCUUGGGAGUAAACUGGUUCAAAUUCCAGUUCCACCACUAUUUUAAUGAGGAUUAGAUUUGGCUAUAAAUGACAAACCCCAAAACAAUAGCAGCUUAAGCAAGUUAGAUGUUUACUUUUCUCUUUCAUGUAAAAUUUUGGAGGUGGCCAACUCAAGAUUCCCAAGUUAGCUCCAGUGUGUCCUCAGGGACCAAGGCUCCUACUCCCCUGCGGCUCUGCUGUUGAUGGCCUUGAUCACAUCAUGGCACUAGCUGGCACCCUCUGGCUCAAGCUGUCAUGUCUGCAUUUCAGCAGUGGAGAGAAGGCUGAGAGUUCCAGGAAGCCGCACAUUCCGCUUUUGCUUAUAUCCUAUUGCCCACGAUUUAGUCACAAGGACACCUAGCUUCAACAGUCUGGAGAAUGUAGUCAUAACUCCAGAAGGCCACAUGCUCAGCUAAAAAUGAGGGUCUAUUACUGUACAAGAAGGAGAAAUUAGAUUUUAGAGGAAAAUAGUCUCUGUCAUACUAGCUGUGUGACUUUGGGGAAAUGAAUGAAUCUCUCUGAUUCAGUUUCCUCAUUCAAGAGUCAGAAUAAUGCAAGCAAACACCUUAGCAAAGUGCCUUGCAUUGAUGAAGGGUUGAGCUAUUAUUUUCCUUUGGUUGUGGCUAGGCUGGCAGGUGGCAGGAUCCCUCACAGGGAGUGUGUACACGUAAGCCUGCCCAAAUCUGAGUUUUUAUUCGUGCCACUUACCAGCUCUGUGACUUGGGGUUACUUGACCUUUCUGAACCUUAGUUUUCUCAUUUAUAGAAUGGAGGCAGCAAUAAUCCUUUCUUUAUAGGGUUCUUGUGAGGAUUAUUUGAGAUAUCAUAUGUAAAGCAUUUCGUAGAGUACUAAGCAAGAAAGACUCUAUAAGUGCUGGCUUCUUUUAUUAUUACUAGUCAAGACAAGCCCUGAGUGACCUUGAGAUUGACCAUGAAGAGGAUGCUGGAGAAGGUUCCAUAGGAUUCUGCCUGGCCACCAGACUCCAAAAUUCAACUCAGUCUAAGGGGUGGGACUGAGGCUGUAACCAGGAGGCAAUAAAUUAACUUGGCCUCCAGUGACUGUAUUAGGACGCUUGCAUUUUGAAUUCUCUCCAAACACAGCUGACCUUAAACGCAACGGGAACAUCCUCUGCCUUCCUGCAUGUUUUCACUCCCUCAAACUGUCAGCAAUUCUCAUCUACAGGGUGCCUUUCCCAAAGGGCUCAGGCAAGAAGCACCAGGAUGAGGAGUCCUAAAGCCAGAAGGAAUUUCUGGUCCCAGUAGGACCUGGAGGGCUGUGCCCAGGCUGUGUAUAGGCUGGGACUGCCUGGCCCCUCAGGCAGAAGUUGCAGAGGAGCAGAAAAUAAGCCUGGAUCAGGUGACCCAGACUUCAGCGUGAUGAAACAAGCAAAACACACUAUUUCUCUUUAGCUCGGCUCCUGGGAUUAGCGGUUAGGUCCCCAGAGUAUACUGGGUGUUUAUUCUCGGAGACACGAAGCUCCAAGGAGUAGCAAGAGUCGGAGGCACAGGGCCUCCCCAGGUAGCUCACUGUUCUACUUCUUGCAGAAGCCAAAUUGGGAUCAUCUGCCAUAUACCCUUCAUGUUCACACGUUGCUUCUCAAUUCAGCACCAGCUGAGCAACUGCCAGGGGUCCCUGAGAGACAGGAAAGACUGGGUGGGAAAUGGACGACUGCGGCCCUGCUAGCUCCCAGGCUUCCAGGCUUCCAGGGCACCCUUCCCACUCAGUCCUACUGACCACCAUAGUGACUGCUCCAUCAGUUACCAUGGCCGCUCGGCAACCUACCUGUAAACGAAGCCACUGUUUGAUCCCAGAAAACUCCCAGUUAAAUCACAAAUCUGCUGUUUUUCUGCAGUCUGCGAAGAGGAUGUAUCACCUGAAGCGAAAAAUUGUAAACAACCUAAAUGACUAAGGGAAAGGGAUUGGUUGCACAAACGAUGAUUCCAUCAUUUCAAGUAAUAUUAGGUGGCCACUAAAAAAUAUAAAUCAUUUUUCUGAGGAUCCGGCUAGAUGGCAGAGGAAGAGCAGAAGAAGCAGCGGACCUUCCGCAAGUUCACCUACCGCGGCGUGGACCUCGAGCAGCUGCUGGACACGUCCUACGAGCAGCUAACACAGCUGAACAGUGCGCGCCAGCGACUGCGGCUGAAACCAGGACUGCGGCGGAAGCACCAUUCGCUGCUAAAACGCCUGCGCAAGGCCAAGAAGGAGGGACCGCCCAUGGAAAAGCCGGAAGUGGUGAAGACUCACCUGCGGGUCAUGAUCAUCCUGCCCGAGAUGGUGGGCAGCAUGGUGGGCGUCUACAACGGACCUUCAACCAGGUGGAGAUGAAGCCGGAGAUGAUCAGCCACUACCUGGGGGCGAGUUCUCCAUCACCUACAAGCCCGUGAAGCACAGCCGGCCCGGCUUCAGGGCCACCCACUCCUCCUGCUUCACCCCCUCAAGUAGUGGCUCAGCUAAUAAACGCACACGUCUCAAAAAUAAAUAAA